GGGGCUGGGGCUCAGGGGCAGAGCGCUCGCCUGGCACACGGGAGGCCCUGGGUUCGAUCCUCAGCCCCA
rnacentral:tRNA from 1 species